rnacentral:lncRNA from 1 species
GCACAUCUCUACCUAUACACUCACCACUGCCUAUUUUUCCUCCUGAAAAGAGAUAUGGAAGCAAAAAGAAAAUUUGAAAGAAAACUUAUUGCAGAAGUGUUUGUUACUAGCAUUAUGGCUAAAUUUUAUAAAACAGAAAUAAAUAAAUUUCCUGAGUGAAUAGGUAGUUAAUCACCAGAAAUCGAAUACAGGUUUGGGUGUUGUGUUUGUUUGUUGUUGUUUUGGUGUUUUUUUGUUUUGUUUUGUUUUUUGUUGUUGUUUUGUUUUAAAAAGAACAUUUUUAAGGUUUGGGAUGACAGUGGCAGAUGAAAGCACAGUUCUUGGCAAGUGGCUGGAAUUCUAGGUGGAGUAGAUGAUCAGGGUAAACGAGCAUGCUAGAGAGGGAGUGGAGGUGAAUCUCUUUCAGAUUUGUCUUUGCUGUAUUUGCAGUCUAAACACCAACGGAUUUGGUAAUCUACAGCCAAUCAAACCACCAGACAAACAACAGCCCAGUAAAGCAGCUUCAAAAAAAGCAUACAGAAAGCCAGAGCUGCCAUUCCAGCCUGUGAUUUCUCUUGCAAGAUCAAUACAUGCUUGGUGAGACUGCUGCUGGAAACCGCUAUAGCUCCAGGAACAUACGAGACGAUACACUCCUCCAACUUCCUUUGCGUCUGCUGAAUUCACACAUUUUCUGGAAAAACACAUUUUUUAAAUAAAGUUCUGCUUAAGAAAUUACA